rnacentral:rRNA from 1 species
GUCUAAGGCCAGAUCACCCUUAACACGCCCCAUCUCAUCUGAUCUCACAAGCUAAACAGGGUCAGGCCUGGUUAGUACAUGGAUGGGAGAAAGACCUUCGGAGGAGACU